rnacentral:rRNA from 1 species
ACUCAAAUGAAUUGACGGGGGCCCGCACAAGCGGCGGAGCAUGCGGAUUAAUUCGAUGCAACGCGAAGAACCUUACCUAGGUUUGACAUAUGUGAGAAGCCUCUAGAGAUAGAGGUCUCUUUGGACACUCAUAUACAGGUGGUGCAUGGCUGUCGUCAGCUCGUGUCGUGAGAUGUUGGGUUAAGUCCCGCAACGAGCGCAACCCUCGUCUUAUGUUGCCAGCACGUAAUGGUGGGGACUCAUAAGAGACUGCCGGGGUCAACUCGGAGGAAGGUGGGGAUGACGUCAAGUCAUCAUGCCCCUUAUGCCUAGGGCUUCACGCAUGCUACAAUGGCCGGUACAAAGGGCUGCGAUACCGCAAGGUGGAGCGAAUCCCAAAAAGCCGGUCUCAGUUCGGAUUGGGGUCUGCAACUCGACCCCAUGAAGUCGGAGUCGCUAGUAAUCGCAGAUCAGCAACGCUGCGGUGAAUACGUUCCCGGGCCUUGUACACACCGCCCGU